GGGAAGGUGGCUCAGUGGUAGAGUGCUUGCCUUGCAUGCAUGAGGCCCUGGGUUCGAUUCCUAAGCACCUCA
rnacentral:tRNA from 1 species